rnacentral:rRNA from 1 species
AAGUCGAGCGGACCGACGGGAGCUUGCUCCCUUAGGUCAGCGGCGGACGGGUGAGUAACACGUGGGUAACCUGCCUGUAAGACUGGGAUAACUCCGGGAAACCGGGGCUAAUACCGGAUGCUUGAUUGAGCCGCAUGGUUCAAUUAUAAAACGGUGGCUUUCAGCUACCACUUACAGAUGGACCCGCGGCGCAUUAGCUAGUUGGUGAGGUAACGGCUCACCAAGGCGACGAUGCGUAGCCGACCUGAGAGGGUGAUCGGCCACACUGGGACUGAGACACGGCCCAGACUCCUACGGGAGGCAGCAGUAGGGAAUCUUCCGCAAUGGACGAAAGUCUGACGGAGCAACGCCGCGUGAGUGAUGAAGGUUUUCGGAUCGUAAAACUCUGUUGUUAGGGAAGAACAAGUACCGUUCGAAUAGGGCGGCACCUUGACGGUACCUAACCAGAAAGCCACGGCUAACUACGUGCCAGCAGCCGCGGUAAUACCUAGGUGGCAAGCGUUGUCCGGAAUUAUUGGGCGUAAAGCGCGCGCAGGCGGUUUCUUAAGUCUGAUGUGAAAGCCCCCGGCUCAACCGGGGAGGGUCAUUGGAAACUGGGGAACUUGAGUGCAGAAGAGGAGAGUGGAAUUCCACGUGUAGCGGUGAAAUGCGUAGAGAUGUGGAGGAACACCAGUGGCGAAGG